GUGUCAGCCGCCGCGGUAAUACAGAGACGGCAAGCGUUGUUCGGAUUCAUUGGGCGUAAAGGGUCCGUAGGCGGUCAGAUAAGUCGGAUGUGAAAUCCCGCAGCCUAACUGCGGUAGGUCAUUCGAAACUGCCUGGCUCGAGGGCUGGAGAGGAGACUGGAAUUGUCGGUGUAGCGGUGAAAUGCGUAGAGAUCGACAAGAACACCGGUGGCGAAGGCGGGUCUCUGGACAGUACCUGACGCUGAGGGACGAAAGCUAGGGGAGCAAACGGGAUUAGAUACCCUCGUAGUCC
rnacentral:rRNA from 1 species